CCUACGGGAGGCUGCAGUGGGGAAUAUUGGACAAUGGGGGCAACCCUGAUCCAGCCAUGCCGCGUGUGUGAAGAAGGCCCUCGGGUUGUAAAGCACUUUCAGUGAGGAAGAACGCCUGGUGGUUAAUACCCUUCAGGAAAGACAUCACUCACAGAAGAAGCACCGGCUAACUCCGUGCCAGCAGCCGCGGUAAUACGGAGGGUGCGAGCGUUAAUCGGAAUUACUGGGCGUAAAGCGCGCGUAGGUGGCUUGAUAAGCCGGUUGUGAAAGCCCCGGGCUCAACCUGGGAACGGCAUCCGGAACUGUCAAGCUAGAGUGCAGGAGAGGAAGGUAGAAUUCCCGGUGUAGCGGUGAAAUGCGUAGAGAUCGGGAGGAAUACCAGUGGCGAAGGCGGCCUUCUGGACUGACACUGACACUGAGGUGCGAAAGCGUGGGUAGCAAACAGGAUUAGAUACCCCAGUAGUC
rnacentral:rRNA from 1 species